GUGGCAAUAUUAAAGCUCCCCUUAUAGGGACUGCGAUGUGUAAUCUACUAAUCUGUAAAUUUUGAACUCAUGCCGGAUUUAUUUCUUGAUCGAAAUUGUUCAAUUUGUAGAGCUUAUCGAGCAGACGAAACAAGAUAAAAAUCAUAUUGAUCGAAGGCUGAUUAAUACAUUAUCGGAGAUGAUCGGAGUGAAUUUGUUUGUGUGAAAAUAGAUUUGGCCGCAUUGGAUCAAACCCAAUGUUGGAUCUGAGGAAGUUAUAACUGAAGGAAUUCGCUCCAUUUUCAUCACGCUCUGCAGCUGAGGAAGUUACGUGAAGAACCAUGCGAUGAUCAUCAAUUCAUCAUCCGUUUGAUUUCUGGGAUUGUUCAAUUAUCCGUCAGACAAGUGAAUCCUCGACAGUACGUGUCUGAAGUUCCUCAUGUGUUGUGCUCUGAGCUGAUUUAUGAUGCAAGUUUUUUAUUAUUAUCUUGAUUGCAUGAUGAGAUGAAGGUAGGAGAGGGGGGGAAUGAUGUGAUGCUAACACUUUGAAUCAUGCAGUUUUGAAACUCCAAUUGUUUGUCGAAUCAUCAGAUCACAUAGAUGGAAAUGCAAAUGAGUUUGGAAAUUAGAAUAGACCAGGGAUUUGGUUUAAUGGGGCGCAAGUUCAAAUUUCUAUACUGCAUAUGAGGUGACAGGUAAGAGCUGAUACAGUUUUUUAGAGCUAUUUCAUUGACUUAAGAGAUAGGUCAUAACUGUGAGAAGCAAAUAGGAGAAGGUUUUGGAGAGUGGAUCCUUUGUGUGAUGUACAAAAUGUGGUGUGAACAGAAUUGCUGAUGUUUUGAUGGGUUUGACCGUUUGUGGAAAACCAAAUUUCUAUGGGUCUUUUGUGUAGGUGCGUGUGGGGUCAAUUUAACAGUUGAUGAUUUGUAGAGAAUUUUGAGGCUUGAGAGUGGACUCAUAGCCUUUUGCUUUGGGCUUUGUAGUUGUACGUGUAAUGUAUAGAGAUGGGAUGAUUUUAAGGCUUCAGAGGAUUCCUAGCCUAUUUGCUUUUGGCUUUCUAUAGGCAUGCAUCGAGUGGCAUUUCCCUUUUGAUGCCUUUCAUUUCUUCAACAAAUCUCUAUAUAAAGGAAUGAUACCUUCCUAACUGGUGAUACUGAUGACUGUUGCAUUCCUUUCCACACUAUCAAGUUUCUCACGCAUCUGUUUUCAUUUUAUAGUUUGAUAUGCUUCAUCCGUCCCCAAUGUUAGUCCCAUGUUGCUGUCCCAAAAAGUUGUCCCUCUUUUGUCAAUGGACAAAAGUUGUUGAAUUCGCAUUUUACCUUCCCUUUCGAAGUAUCAACAGCAAUAAACUAAAGGCAAUGAUGUUCCUUUGGAAUUUCAUGCGAAUUGGUUGUGACCAUUGUUUUGUAUAUUAAAGAUGUCUGCUUAAUGCUACAGUGCUACCAGACCUAAAUGUACCCUCCCCUAAACCAGAAAUAUUGAAUCUUCCUGAGGGGCCAAAUGUGCAGGAGUAGGAGUUCCACUGCCAAAUUAGAUUAUUGGAUAUCCAGAGGCAACAAUUAGAGAAAGACAAAGAAUACAUUCUGGGCAAGUUGAGGGAGGGGCAAUUGAAACAGUCCACGUGCAAAUAUCAACAUUGGAAAUUUAUUGUUUCAAUAAUUUUUUGCAGGGGAAUGAAGAUCUGAUUCUUGCUAAUGAUGCACUUGACUUUGCAGAUUACCGUUUAUCAUUGGCAAUACCAAAAUAUGGGAUUUUUGAGAACAUAAAUUCGCUGUGGGAGCUAGCACAGAUGCCUCAAUGGACACCCGAGAAACCUCUAAGACUGGCCCCUAAGUUUAUGAAGGAAAAUGGACUGAAGCAUGUCACUUGUUCGACUACUGACGGAGCGUUGGAGGCAGCUCCUCCUGCGAUGGGCAUAGCUGAUGCUAUCGUGGACCUUGAGUAGCGGAACCACAUUCCGAGAGAACGAUUUAAAAGAAAUCGAAGGUGCAGUAAUAUUGGAAAGUCAGGUGAACUAAACUCUUUUGACUUACCCAAGCAUGUAAAACCAACCUUCAAAGCAGAUUGGAGGCAGUGCAGUUCUUAUUUCUCCUGACCUACAUUUUUUAUGAAGAACCCCUCAAUGGCGCGAACUCCUGUGAAAACUUGGCAUGUAAUAGUCUCAUGGGAAUGCCGAAUGCCUUGGGUGGUUUUUGUAUUCUACAGCAUUAGCGCAUCAAAGAACUCUUGGAGCUUGUGUAAGAAGAGAAUUCAGCUCAAGAAGUUACGCACUUGCAUGUAUUUCGGCGUAGUGUAUUUUUAGUCUUUUUUUUGGAAAUUCAUGCCACUUUUCAAUUGAUUAUAUCUUGAAAUCUGUAAGAUUUUAGGUGAUUUUGAAAUUUUGGUUUAAUAGUUCUAAUCAAGAGCUAUCAAACAAAAUCCAUAUUGCAUGUAAAAUGUAUUACGAAUUGAAAAGUUUAAUCAAUUUACUAUCCGCUUAGGAUGGAA